rnacentral:rRNA from 1 species
AGGUCAAGCUACAAAGGGCGCAUGGUGAAUGCCUUGGCAUCAGGAGCCGAUGAAGGACGCGAUAAGCUGCGAUAAGCUUCGGGUAGGCGCACAUAGCCAGAGAUCCGAAGAUUUCCGAAUGAGGAAACUCACAUGGGAAACCCCAUGUAUCAUAAAGUGAAUACAUAGCUUUAUGAAGGUAUACCCAGGGAACUGAAACAUCUAAGUACCUGGAGGAAGAGAAAGAAAAAUCGAUUUUCUUAGUAGCGGCGAGCGAAAAGGAAAGAGCCCAAACCAGAGAUUUAUCUCUGGGGUUGCGGACAGAACAUAACGAGAAAUCAUAGUUAAUUGAACACAACUGGAAAGUUGGACCACAGUGGGUAAUAGUCCCGUAAGUGAAAACUAUGAUAAUCAGUUCUGCACCAGAGUACCACGAGACACGUGAAACCUUGUGGGAAGCAGGGAGGACCACCUCCCAAGGCUAAAUACUACCUGAUGACCGAUAGUGAAGCAGUACCGUGAGGGAAAGGUGAAAAGAACCCCGGGAGGGGAGUGAAAUAGAACCUGAAACCAUGUGCCUACAACCGAUCAGAGCACCUUAUGUGUGUGAUGAUGUGCUUUUUGUAGAACGAGCCAACGAGUUACGGUAUGUAGCGAGGUUAAGUACUUAAGGUACGGAGCCGAAGGGAAACCGAGUCUUAAUAGGGCGACUAGUUGCAUGCUGUAGACCCGAAACCGGGUGACCUAUCCAUGGCCAGGUUGAAGCGAGGGUAAAACCUCGUGGAGGACCGAACCACGUUGCUGUUGAAAAAGCAUGGGAUGAGCUGUGGAUAGCGGAGAAAUUCCAAUCGAACUCGGAUAUAGCUGGUUCUCCUCGAAAUAGCUUUAGGGCUAGCGUCGGAAAAUGUGAGUAGUGGAGGUAGAGCACUGAAUAGGCUAGGGGGCAUAGCGCUUACCGAACCUUAUCAAACUCCGAAUGCCACAUACUAUCAGUCCGGCAGUCAGACUAUGAAAGAUAAGUUCCAUGGUCAAAAGGGAAACAGCCCAGAUCGUCAGCUAAGGUCCCAAAGUGUAAGUUAAGUGGAAAAGGAUGUGGGAUUUCUAAGACAACUAGGAUGUUGGCUUAGAAGCAGCCACUCAUUAAAAGAGUGCGUAAUAGCUCACUAGUCAAGAGAUCCUGCGCCGAAAAUGUCCGGGGCUCAAACUUACCACCGAAGCUACGGGUUCACGUUUUANCUCAAACUUACCACCGAAGCUACGGGUUCACGCUUAUGCGUGAGCGGUAGAGGAGCGUCGUAAUCGGGCUGAAGUCGUACCGUAAGGAGCGGUGGACUGAUUACGAGUGAGAAUGUUGGCAUUAGUAGCGAGAUGUAGGCGAGAAUCCUACAGGCCGAAUAUCUAAGGUUUCCUGAGUAAAGUUUGUCUUCUCAGGGUUAGUCGGGACCUAAGGCGAGGCCGAAAGGCGUAGUCGAUGGACAAUUGGUUGAUAUUCCAAUACCACUAUAAUCGUUAUUAUCGAUGGUGUGACGGAGAAGGAUAGGAUGUGCUAGCUAUUGGAUGCUAGUCUAAGCGUUUAGGGAGUUGGGAUUGGCAAAUCCGUUCCAACAAUUCUGAGGCGUGAUGGGGAAGGUUCUACGGAACCGAAGUAUCUGAUUCCAUGCUUCCAAGAAAAGCAUCUAGAGAGAGAAGUAGUGCCCGUACCGCAAACCGACACAGGUAGAUGAGGAGAGAAUCCUAAGGCCGACGGAAGAAUUGCAGUUAAGGAACUAGGCAAAUUGACCCCGUAACUUCGGGAGAAGGGGUGCCUGAGAAAUCAGGCCGCAGAGAAUAGGCACAAGCAACUGUUUAACAAAAACACAGGUCUCUGCUAAAGCGAAAGCUGAUGUAUAGGGGCUGACGCCUGCCCGGUGCUGGAAGGUUAAGGGGAACACUUAGCGAAAUAUCGCGAAGGUGUGAACUUAAGCCCCAGUAAACGGCGGCCGUAACUAUAACGGUCCUAAGGUAGCGAAAUUCCUUGUCAGGUAAGUUCUGACCCGCACGAAUGGCGUAAUGACUUGUGCACUGUCUCAACUGCAAAUCCGGCGAAGUUGUAGUGCGAGUGAAGAUGCUCGCUACCCGCGAUUGGACGGAAAGACCCCGUAGAGCUUUACUGUAGCUUAGCAUUGAAUUUCGGUAUUGUCUGUACAGG